UGGGCUGUCGCCAAGCGGUAAGGCACAGGACUUUGACUCCUGCAUUCGCUGGUUCAAAUCCAGCCAGCCCAGUCA
rnacentral:tRNA from 1 species